rnacentral:lncRNA from 1 species
UUUAAUAUCUUGUAACUUGAUUCAAUCAAGGGAUUGAAUCAAGGGGUUAAGGUUUGUUGGUGAGCCAAAGGGGAAAACCAACGGUGUUAGGUUGUGGUUGGUGAGCCUUUGGGAAAACCAACUGGGUUGAUUGUGAACCCGAAAAACAAUCGUUGUAAGGUUGUAGUUGGUGAGCCUGUGGGAAAAACCAACUAGGUUUGAUUGUGAACCCGGAAAAACAAUCGGUUGGUUCUAGUCGGUGAGCCGGUGAAAACC